GAGGAUAAUUCUUGGAGGGCCCAUAUCGAUUACAAAAAAUGGCUCAUCCUUAUCGCAUUUGUUCUUUGCUAAUGACCUUUUCUUGUUUGUGGAAGUGGAUGUGAAUCAAACACAGAUGGUGAGGAAAGUUCUUGAUAUUUUCGAAGCGGUUUCGGGUCACAAAGUGAAUGCUAACAAGAUAGAGGUUUUAUUCUCUAAAAAUGUUUGGCCACUUGAAAAAGAUGGUAUUUGUAGUAUCCUGAG
rnacentral:lncRNA from 1 species